rnacentral:lncRNA from 1 species
ACUGCACGGAGAGUUGUGAUUUGUGAAGCAAAGAUGAACACUUUUACACCAAGCACAUUCAUGCUGUGAUUAUGUUCCUAUUGAGAAGCAUUUAACAAUUUCACGCUGUUUAGGUUCAUGUUGUUUAGGUUCACGCUGUUUAGGUUCACACUGUUUAGGUUCACGCUGUUUAGGUUCACACUGUUUAGGUUCACGCUGUUUAGGUUCACACUGUUUAGGUUCACGCUGUUUAGGUUCACGUUGUGUAGGUUAGGUUGUUUGUUUCACUCUGUGUAGGUUCACACUGUUUAGGUUCACACUGUUUAGGUUCAUGUUGUUUAGGUUCAUGUUGUUUAGGUUCACACUGUUUAGGUUCACACUGUUUAGGUUCAUGUUGUUUAGGUUCACUCUGUUUAGGUUCACGCUGUUUAGGUUCAUGUUGUUUAGGUUCACACUGUUUAGGUUCAUGUUGUUUAGGUUCACUCUGUUUAGGUUCACUCUGUUUAGGUUCCUCUGUUUAGGUUCACGCUGUUUUAGGUUCACGCUGUUUAGGUUCACACUGUUUAGUUCACACGUGGUUAAGUUCACACUGUUUAGGUUCAUGUUGUUUAGGUUCACUCUGUUUAGGUUCACACGUGUUUAGGUUCAUGUGUUUAGGUUCACUCUGUUUAGGUUCACGCUUUAGGUUCACGCUGUUUAG